rnacentral:tRNA from 2 species
ACUUUCUUAGUAUAAUCGUACCAAUGGCUUCCAACCAUUUAGUUCUGGUUUGACCCCAGAAGAAAGUA